rnacentral:rRNA from 1 species
UACGAAGGGGGCUAGCGUUGCUCGGAAUCACUGGGCGUAAAGGGUGCGUAGGUGGGUCUGUAAGUCAGUGGUGAAAUCUUCAAGCUUAACUUGGAAACUGCCAUUGAUACUAUAGAUCUUGAAUUAUCUGGAGGUAAGCGGAAUAUGUCAUGUAGCGGUGAAAUGCUUAGAUAUGACAUAGAACACCCAUUGCGAAGGCAGCUUACUACGGAUUGAUUGACACUGAGGCACGAAAGCGUGGGGAUCAAACAGG